rnacentral:rRNA from 1 species
GAUUAACGCUAGCGGCAGGCCUAAUACAUGCAAGUCGAACGGUAACAGGGUAGCAAUACCGCUGACGAGUGGCGAACGGGUGCGUAACACGUAUGCAACUUACCUCUGACUGGGGGAAUAGCCCCGAGAAAUCGGGAUUAAUACCCCAUAACAUUAUCGAUGGGCAUCUAUUGAUAAUCAAACUCCGGUGGUCAGAGAUAGGCAUGCGGGACAUUAGCUAGUUGGUGAGGUAACGGCUCACCAAGGCUACGAUGUCUAGGGGGUCUGAGAGGAUGAUCCCCCACACUGGUACUGAGACACGGACCAGACUCCUACGGGAGGCAGCAGUAAGGAAUAUUGGUCAAUGGACGCAAGUCUGAACCAGCCAUGCCGCGUGCAGGAUGACUGCCCUAUGGGUUGUAAACUGCUUUUAUACGGGAAGAAACCCCUCUACGUGUAGAGGGCUGACGGUACCGUGAGAAUAAGGAUCGGCUAACUCCGUGCCAGCAGCCGCGGUAAUACGGAGGAUCCAAGCGUUAUCCGGAUUUAUUGGGUUUAAAAGGGUGCGUAGGCGGAUUAUUAAGUCAGUGGUGAAAGCCUGCAGCUUAAACUGCAGAACUGCCAUUGAUACUGGUAAUCUUGAGUACAUUUGAGGCGGGCGGAAUAUGUCAUGUAGCGGUGAAAUGCUU